CCAGUCGUGGCCGAGUGAUUAAGGCGAUAGACUAGAAAUCCAUUUGGGUCUCCCCGGCGCCCGCACAGGUUUGAUCCUGUCGACUGCG
rnacentral:tRNA from 1 species